GGCCCGGUAGCGGGAGGUCUGCACCUGCAUUCAAUUAGCUUUUAGAGAUCCACUUGUUCUGUGGGAGACGCUCGUUCGAUUCGAGCCCGGGCCA